CCCUUAGACGUUCUGGGCCGCACGCGCGCUACACUGACCAGUGCAACAAGCAUCCGUCCUUGGCCGACAGGCCCGGGCAAUCUUUGAACGCUGGUCGUGAUGGGGAUAUACUUUUGCAAUUUUUGGUCUUCAACGAGGAAUUCCUAGUAAACGCAAGUCAUCAACUUGCAUUGAUUACGUCCCUGCCCUUUGUACACACCGCCCGUCGCACCUACCGAUUGAAUGGUCCGGUGAAGCCUCCGGAUUGGCGCGCACCUCGGUGCCGCCGAGAAGUUGGCUAAACCUUACCAUUUAGAGGAAGGUGAAGUCGUAACA
rnacentral:rRNA from 1 species